UCCUGUCUGAAUAUGGGGGGACCAUCCUCCAAGGCUAAAUACUCCUGACUGACCGAUAGUGAACCAGUACCGUGAGGGAAAGGCGAAAAGAACCCCGGCGAGGGGAGUGAAAAAGAACCUGAAACCGUGUACGUACAAGCAGUGGGAGCACCCUUUGGGGUGUGACUGCGUACCUUUUGUAUAAUGGGUCAGCGACUUAUAUUCUGUAGCAAGGUUAACCGUAUAGGGGAGCCGGAGGGAAACCGAGUCUUAACCGGGCGUUAAGUUGCAGGGUAUAGACCCGAAACCCGGUGAUCUAGCCAUGGGCAGG
rnacentral:rRNA from 1 species